rnacentral:rRNA from 1 species
AAGCGAAGAACCUUACCUGGGUUUGACAUAUACCGGAAAGCUGCAGAGAUGUAGCCCCCCUUGUGGUCGGUAUACAGGUGGUGCAUGGCUGUCGUCAGCUCGUGUCGUGAGAUGUUGGGUUAAGUCCCGCAACGAGCGCAACCCUCGUCCUAUGUUGCCAGCACGUAAUGGUGGGGACUCAUAGGAGACUGCCGGGGUCAACUCGGAGGAAGGUGGGGAUGACGUCAAGUCUUCAUGCCCCUUAUGUCCAGGGCUUCACGCAUGCUACAAUGGCCGGUACAAAGGGCUGCGAUACCGCAAGGUGGAGCGAAUCCCAAAAAGCCGGUCUCAGUUCGGAUUGGGGUCUGCAACUCGACCCCAUGAAGUCGGAGUCGCUAGUAAUCGCAGAUCAGCAACGCUGCGGUGAAUACGUUCCCGGGUCUUGUACACACCG